AACGAACGCUGGCGGCAUGCCUAACACAUGCAAGUCGAACGAGACCUUCGGGUCUAGUGGCGCACGGGUGCGUAACGCGUGGGAACCUGCCCUUAGGUUCGGAAUAACUCCCCGAAAGGGGUGCUAAUACCGGAUAAUGUCUUCGGACCAAAGAUUUAUCGCCUUGGGGUGGGCCCGCGUUGGAUUAGCUAGUUGGUAGGGUAAAAGCCUACCAAGGCGCCGAUCCAUAGCUGGUAUUGGAGGAUGGUCAGCCACCCUGGGACUGGGACCCGGCCCGAACCCCUAGGGAAGGGAGAAGGGGGGACGGAGGAACGACGGGGGAAUGCUUAAGGCAGUCGGGCCGGGGAAGUGAGUAAGGAGGGAGGUUUGAAAGUGUUAGUUACCAGGCAGGUAAUGACCGUACCCGGGAAGAAAGCCACGGCUAAAUACGGG
rnacentral:rRNA from 1 species